rnacentral:rRNA from 1 species
GAAUUGACGGGACCCGCACAAGCGGUGGAUGAUGUGGUUUAAUUCGAUGCAACGCGAAAACCUUACCCACCUUUGACAUGUACGGAACCCUCCAGAGAUGGAGGGGUGCUCGAAAGAGAGCCGUAACACAGGUGCUGCAUGGCUGUCGUCAGCUCGUGUCGUGAGAUGUUGGGUUAAGUCCCGCAACGAGCGCAACCCUUGUCAUUAGUUGCUACAUUUAGUUGGGCACUCUAAUGAGACUGCCGGUGACAAACCGGAGGAAGGUGGGGAUGACGUCAAGUCCUCAUGGCCCUUAUAGGUAGGGCUACACACGUCAUACAAUGGAUGGUACAAAGGGUCGCCAACCCGCGAGGGGGAGCCAAUCCCAUAAAACCAUUCGUAGUCCGGAUCGCAGUCUGCAACUCGACUGCGUGAAGUCGGAAUCGCUAGUAAUCGUGGAUCAGAAUGUCACGGUGGAUACGUUCCCGGGUCUU